UACAGAGGUGGCAAGCGUUGUUCGGAAUUACUGGGCGUAAAGGGCGCGUAGGCGGUCUUGUAAGUCUUGUGUGAAAUCCCUCGGCUUAACUGAGGAACUGCACGGGAUACUGCGAGACUUGAGAUCGGGAGAGGGAAGCGGAAUUCCGGGUGUAGCGGUGAAAUGCGUAGAUAUCCGGAGGAACACCGGUGGCGAAGGCGGCUUCCUGGACCGACACUGACGCUAAGGCGCGAAAGCUAGGGGAGCAAACGGG
rnacentral:rRNA from 1 species